AUUAAGGUGGCAGACUAGUGCGUUGGGUUUAAGCCUCAAAUAUGGAAUAAAACUUUUGUUUCCCUUAAUA
rnacentral:tRNA from 1 species